UACGGAGGGUGCUAGCGUUGUUCGGAAUCACUGGGCGUAAAGGGCGCGUAGGCGGCCUUCUAAGUCAGACGUGAAAUCCCCCGGCUUAACCUGGGAACUGCGUCUGAUACUGGGAGGCUUGAGUAUGGGAGAGGGAUGUAGAAUUCCAGGUGUAGCGGUGAAAUGCGUAGAUAUCUGGAGGAAUACCGGUGGCGAAGGCGGCAUCCUGGACCAUAACUGACGCUGAGGCGCGAAAGCUAGGGGAGCAAACGGGG
rnacentral:rRNA from 1 species